rnacentral:rRNA from 1 species
GACGAACGCUGGCGGCGUGCCUAACACAUGCAAGUGGAGCGACGAACCAGGGCUUGCCCUGGGGCCAAGCCGCGAACGGGUGAGUAACACGUGGGUAACCUGCCCCGAUGACCGGGACAACCCGAGGAAACUCGGGCUAAUACCGGAUGUGGUGCACACACACAAGUGUGUUUACUAAAGGAGCUUCGGCCUCCGCAUUGGGAUGGGCCCGCGGCCCAUUAGCUAGUUGGUGGGGUAAAGGCCACCAAGGCAACUAUGGGUAGCUGGUCUGAGAGGACGAUCAGCCACACUGGGACUGAGACACGGCCCAGACUCCUACGGGAGGCAGCAGUGGGGAAUCUUGCGCAAUGCGCGAAAGCGUGACGCAGCAACGCCGCGUGAGGGAAGACGGCCUGGUGUAAC